GCCCAACUGGGCAGAGGGGUCCUCCUCUCAUCAUCUCUGGCUGCAAUUCCUCAGAUGCUCCGUGGGCUGGCUGGAAAAUGUAUGGACUUGUUUGCAGACCACCUUAGCCCUGAUGAUUUGGGCUUGAACUACCUGGAAAAUGAAGUGCCUCACGUUUAUGAGGAGAAGGCAUUUAAGUGCCUCACCAGUGAGAAGUGCCACUGACUU